CCUUUAGUAACAAAGCUUUCCCCGAGGGCAGUUCGUUUUCUUGUUCAGACUUGAGAAGUCUGAGAUGGUUGACAAAAUUGGUUGUCCUUUCAAGCAAAACAGCUGUCGCCAGCUGCACGCAUUACAUUCGUCGAAAAAGUCAAUUAGCGUAGGAAGGUUUGAAGGACAACCGUUUCGUCAACAUCCCCAUACAUCUCCCUCAGAACACGUGGGGAUUAAAAGAAAUGGCGGCGAUUCUCACCCAUUCUCCAGAAGACCAAGGAGUUGCAGUCGAAAAGGCAUUUUGUGUGUUAAACUGAAUUCGCAAAAUGGCGCCAUUGCGUCAAAGAGAUUCUCAUCUCCCCUACUGCUGAAGGAGGCAAAAACUUGCCGAUCUCCUAUUCCCGUUCAUGUUUCAAGCACAAUCUUGUCAUCCAAAAUCUGAAAAACAGCUUACGUAGCAUUCGUUUUCAUUGAACCUGAUACACUUCCUCGGAAAUGCAGCUAGGAGGACACACUUGAUUUGCUCGAGUAUUCAUCGAAAAAUUCUCCGCAGUGAAAUGAAUUGAUCAAUAAAACUCUCAGGGAGUUUCAAUAUCCGAAAAUCGUUAAACAUUGCCAUGGCUUUAAAGAAGUCGGGUGGGAGGGUGGCAUACGCCCAGUCUCUUACUAAUUUUUACCAUGUGGCGACGUUGCAAUGGGCGGGAAUCAAGAGUAACUCGGUGCAAAUUGCUCCCUACCUUACAAAACUCGAGGUAGCUUUUUAUUUAAAUAUUCAUGAGCAAAUCGAAAACUUUUUCAAUCGUUAUUGAAUAUUGAGUAUUCAACCUUUUUGUCCAGCUGUUAUUCCAUUUCACAUCUCAUUGUUUGCAUAGUUGUGCUACCAGGAACUCCCUACUUACGACACCGACUAACUGACAAUCUUUUGGUCCCAAGAAGGGAAAUAUUCUUCAGUUAAGUUUAAAACAAUAGGCUGCUGUUUUGUUGACCAGUUGCUGGGCUGUCAUGUCAAUGAAAUAACCAACAAGUGCAUGGCAACUGAAGUGGAAGAACUCUGCAAGUGCUAGACAACACUUUAGGCUGCUACCUUUGUCUGAGGCUUACAACAUGGAAAAUGGCAGACUAGUGGUCCCGUCCCCUGUCACAAGAAUAGCCGUACAAUAAGCCACGAACGGUGAACUCGUCAUGAAUGCAGCAAGCUCUUCAUCUCGAACGAUAAAAGAAAAGAGCUUCAGUCCAAAUCAGCCGUGAGUGCAUAGUGGUUUCGCGGUUUAUGGUACUAUCAUUAAAUCAAUAGAGCCCGAAAUGCUGAGGGAAAAACUCUUUUCAAAUCUUUAUACAUUGGAGCAACGCUGGUGAUUACGUCAAAACGAGGGAGAAAGAGAUCUAAAGAAAACAUAAAAAAGGCUUAGGCUGUGUCCUGUGAUGUGUGAAAGAAUAAUCAUCGUUAUUACUAUAUUAUUUACAGAUGACAGUAGUUUUCGGUGAAGGGAAUAUUUCAUUAGAUAUUCAGGAAGGCGAUGAAUCUGUAAGGGUGUAGGGGGACGUCACCGCUUGUUGUCACUACAAAGUAGAUUGCUGUGCAGGAAUAAAUUGUGAUUUUGAAGAGACUCGUGAAAAUUCCUUGUGCUUCAAGAGGACGACAUCACUUUGAUUCCAUUUUGAUCGUCCCCCCCUUCCCCCAAAAAAAUUAAGGCUUGGGACGCAUCGUAUGACAAAUCGAAAAGGAAGGAAAGGCGCCUGGUGAUAUGGUGGAGUUACGAAGACGAAGGAUUGGCUAUAUAUUCUACGCCUUUAUACACAUUGACGUAAGAAGAGAUCGCGGGAUUUCUUUUCUUUUCUUUCUUGAUUUCUGGAAAUCACCGGAAUGCUGUGCAAACAAACCAGGCGGAAAUGUAUACAGAAGCAAGUCGGCAGGCCUGUUUAAUAUCAAUACUUCCGAAACGUAAAGCAAAGACAGCAGCGUAAACGAAUGGCAGUUACGCAACAAAAUGGAUUUUUGGUUCGUGUAAUCUUUUACAAAGUUCAUCCGCACCCCGUGACUCUGCUUCAGGCGUCUAACAUGCGCGGCCUUCAACACGACCAUAAUGAACCUGGGGGAUCUCCAAGAGCAUCAGUUUACCCAAACUUUUGGUACGACGUUUGGCUAAGCAGUUUGUUGCCCAGCUGGGGCGUGAAUCAACUGUUUCCCUAUUGACGGAUUAACCGUGUAACCCUCCAUUGGUUUUUGUUUGUACCUGCAAUCAGAUGACGGGAAAACUAAUGGCGGUGUAACAUCCUCGGCUGGGUUACGUGCCUUACGCUAAUGGAGAUUUUCUGGAGUCUUUCGCGUCUCGCGUUCAUAGGCCGAUGGUUUUUCGUCUGCUGCAGCCGCCCCUUUGGUUUCAUUGGUCACGGGCAGUGGUGUAAGGUCAUCCGUUCCGCAUCCGACGUCUCUUCCCUUAGCCUUUACAAGUUGAGGAAGAUCAUCCGUGUCGCAUCCGACAUCUCGCUUAGUAAUUUGAGCGGUCAUCUUCAUUUGCGAUUCAGAAGCGAUCAAAAGACUUUGAUGUUAUUCCAUUUUCGCAAUCGUUUCCAUCGCAUUCUCAAGUGCCAACUUCAAAGUUUUCAUUUCGGAUUGAAUGGUUUGCAAGUCUUUGAUCAAUUUCUCUUUUCCUUGUCGGGUUGUAGGCUAACAGAAACAAUGUCCUCCUUCAUUUGUUCCAGAACAUGAUUUACCGUCCAUUUUGAGUGCUCUGAGACAACGUCCUGUGACGAGAUAUGUUCUUGAAUGCUUUCUAUUUUUGGGAGAGAAACCUCACCAACAACCCUCAUCGUUCGUUAACUCAAGUUUUCUCAACCAUUUUCGUUUUUAAUUCAUUUAAAAUCAAAGUUUCAACAAACCUUUCAAAAUAUUUCUUUUUUUUUUUGUGAAAAAAAAUUUGUAUUCUGAUUUUGCGACCGUCACUCCGCUUGCCACUCGUCUUUUGUUUGCGAAUAACAAAUACCUGAUUGUCCAUUGCACCGUGGGCUUCUUACAUAUAGACUUUCCAAGUGUUUGGACGAGGCAUCAACGUACAGCAUUUGAUUGCUGCCAUUUUGCUCCCGACGUCAAAGAAACGUCCCUGAAGCCAGAUGUCUAUUAUUGUUAUUUUCUACCUUUUGUUGCCUCAUUUGUCACUGUUAAAUGAUCCAAAUCAGCUUGCCAAAAGAAUAAAAUCCAAUCAAGGGA
rnacentral:misc_RNA from 1 species